rnacentral:rRNA from 1 species
UACGGGGGGGGCAAGCGUUGUUCGGAAUUACUGGGCGUAAAGGGCGCGUAGGCGGCCUGUUAAGUCGAACGUGAAAUCCCCGGGCUCAACCCGGGAACUGCGUCCGAUACUGGCAGGCUUGAAUCCGGGAGAGGGAUGCGGAAUUCCAGGUGUAGCGGUGAAAUGCGUAGAUAUCUGGAGGAACACCGGUGGCGAAGGCGGCAUCCUGGACCAAUUCUGACGCUGAGGAGCGAAAGCCAGGGGAGCAAACGGG